rnacentral:rRNA from 1 species
AUUGCCUUAGUAGCGGCGAGUGAAGCGGCAAAAGCUCAAAUUUGAAAUCUGGCUCUUUCAGAGUCCGAGUUGUAAUUUGAAGAAGGUAUCUUUGGGUCUGGCUCUUGUCUAUGUUUCUUGGAACAGAACGUCACAGAGGGUGAGAAUCCCGUGCGAUGAGAUGAUCCAGGCCUAUGUAAAGUUCCUUCGAAGAGUCGAGUUGUUUGGGAAUGCAGCUCUAAGUGGGUGGUAAAUUCCAUCUAAAGCUAAAUAUUGGCGAGAGACCGAUAGCGAACAAGUACAGUGAUGGAAAGAUGAAAAGAACUUUGAAAAGAGAGUGAAAAAGUACGUGAAAUUGUUGAAAGGGAAGGGCUUGAGAUCAGACUUGGUAUUUUGUAUGUUACUUCUUCGGGGGUGGCCUCUACAGUUUAUCGGGCCAGCAUCAGUUUGGGCGGUAGGAGAAUUGCGUUGGAAUGUGGCACGGCUUCGGUUGUGUGUUAUAGCCUUCGUCGAUACUGCCAGCCUAGACUGAGGACUGCGGUUUAUACCUAGGAUGUUGGCAUAAUGAUCUUAAGUCGC